rnacentral:hammerhead_ribozyme from 1 species
AUCCAACUGACGAGUCCCAAAUAGGACGAAAUGCGCGUCCUGGAA